CUGGAUUUCCAGUCAGGCUGUGGGUGUGCAGGCAGUAGGAGGAAGAAGCAGGAGCCCAAUCCUCGGGACUGGAGAGAACCUGGUGACCACCAACAUGAAGGAGAGCCAUCAAGGAGCAUCUUGGAGAGUACCAGCAACUGGUGAAUUUGCAGGGAUUCCACGGGAGACACAGCCCCCUCCUCCCACCCUCAUUCCCACGAAAAAGGACUUCAAAAGGACACUUGUUCCUCUCCAGCCUAAGCCAUCUGCAAUCACCGGGAGCCAGCUGACCGCGCGCAGCCCGCCCGGAGGCUGAGAGAUGGGUGGUCAGGGAAAGGUUCCGGGAGAAGGAGCGGGUGUCCCAGGCCGGGUGAGAAAGAGAAGGGCGGGGAGAAG